UACGAAGGGGGCUAGCGUUGUUCGGAAUUACUGGGCGUAAAGCGCGCGCAGGCGGUCUUCCAAGCCAGUGGUGAAAGCCCGGAGCUCAACUCCGGAACUGCCAUUGAAACUGUUAGACUUGAGGAUGAGAGAGGUGAGUGGAAUUCCCAGUGUAGAGGUGAAAUGCGUAGAUAUUGGGAGGAACACCAGUGGCGAAGGCGGCUCACUGGACCGGUACUGACGCUGAUGCGCGAAAGCGUGGGGAGCAAACGGG
rnacentral:rRNA from 1 species